rnacentral:rRNA from 1 species
AGAGUUUGAUCCUGGCUCAGGAUGAACGCUAGCGGCAGGCUUAACACAUGCAAGUCGAGGGGCAUCGGGAGGGAAGCUUGCUUUCCUUGCCGGCGACCGGCGCACGGGUGAGUAACACGUAUGCAACCUGCCCUCUUCAGGGGGACAACCUUCCGAAAGGGAGGCUAAUCCCGCGUAUAUCGGUUUCGGGCAUCCGAGAUCGAGGAAAGAUUCAUCGGAAGAGGAUGGGCAUGCGGCGCAUUAGCUUGACGGCGGGGUAACGGCCCACCGUGGCGACGAUGCGUAGGGGUUCUGAGAGGAAGGUCCCCCACACUGGUACUGAGACACGGACCAGACUCCUACGGGAGGCAGCAGUGAGGAAUAUUGGUCAAUGGGAGAGAUCCUGAACCAGCCAAGCCGCGUGAGGGAAGACGGCCCUAUGGGUUGUAAACCUCUUUUGUCGGAGAACAAAACCCGGGACGUGUCCCGGACCGCGUGUAUCCGAAGAAAAAGCAUCGGCUAACUCCGUG